GCCCAACCUCCCUCUAGGAUGCUAAGUGGGUCUGCAAGGCACAGGGCAAAUCCUUCCUUGUCUGGAGGCGAAGAAGGGUUCACCACCAUUGUGAAGUCAAUGCAAAGGGACGCCUCUACCCUUUAAGACCAUCAGCCUGGGAGCUGAUGAAGUCAAUUCUGAUGUCGGUCAACUGGUUGUAAAGGGGGUCUCGUCCCUCAAACAAGGUCAUAGGGGCCUCUUACACUAGUUAUCUCGGGAUAAGUC
rnacentral:lncRNA from 1 species